CUGUGAGACAGGUGCUGCAUGGCUGUCGUCAGCUCGUGUUGUGAAAUGUUGGGUUAAGUCCCGCAACGAGCGCAACCCUUAUCCUUUGUUGCCAGCGGUUAGGCCGGGAACUCAAAGGAGACUGCCAGUGAUAAACUGGAGGAAGGUGGGGAUGACGUCAAGUCAUCAUGGCCCUUACGACCAGGGCUACACACGUGCUACAAUGGCAUAUACAAAGAGAAGCGACCUCGCGAGAGCAAGCGGACCUCAUAAAGUAUGUCGUAGUCCGG
rnacentral:rRNA from 1 species